GAACAUCCUGCUUGGCCCUAAUGCUUAUAAUCUUGUUUUGGCAGCAGCAGGCAAAAAACCUGAGAUUGAAAUUUUGUCCCAAGUUUUCAAGGAUCAUGUAAUGUCUCGUGAUUGAUUCUUUGCCAUUGACUUCUUAUCUUACUCUUGCCAAGGGUUUUAUGGACACAAAUGAUCAUGUCUUGUUACUGAGACUUGUUAGAGAUGUAUCAGAGCUGAC
rnacentral:misc_RNA from 1 species